CUGGACAAGCGCUCUAAAUCAAGCCAGUGGCAUGAGAUCACCCUGGCUCUAGCAUUUUGGAAGAAGAUGACCAUUUUGGAAGAAGCAGCCCAAUGAGAAAAUAGGAGACUUCUUCGAGUCUGGUGUUUGUGCGUCCAUGCAAAGACGCUACGUUGCUUUAGGACGCCAAACAGAGAAGUCACGCGGCAUGAGAAGGCUAAAAAUAAGCAGUUUUCUAAUUUCCCACGAAACCACCCUUGUUUAAGCCUAAGAUGUAAGAUGCAGUAUUCUCUCUUAGGGAACCAUUAAGGAUAAAGAAUCAACGUGAACUGAGUCUCAUAACGUGUUUUAUUUCAUUUAGUCCCUUGGCAUUUUGAGGUGGGUGUCAGGGUCCUCCCUUCACUGACAGGGAAACAACUCUAAGAGGAUCACCACGGCCAAGCUGCCACUCAAGCCAACACCUGCUCGACUUCAAGAGCCAGGCUUUUUUCUACUACCCGUCGUGUUUUGUUUUCUCCCCUCCCGUUUCGUUUGCAUUAGGUGUAGGGACUACAGCUACCCUGUCACCCACGGUCGCUGCGAAAUGUCGCUUACGGUCAGGCCCCCAGAACGGUCACGCGCCCUCCCCUCCUGAGGUGUCUCCGAAACUCGAGCUCCACCGACGAGAAGCGCAGGCCUGAGGCACCGACGCCAGCGCCAGCGCCAGCGCCAGCCCCAGCGUGGCCUCAGGAGCCCGGAAGGCGCCCCCGGGGCGCGUUUACAACACUGUCGUAAAGCGGCGGCUGCCGACAGCCGGCCUCGAGGCGCCGUCGAGGAGCUCGGCGGAGAAAGGAGAUGGAGGAAGGCUGAGGGCCGGGUGACGCCGAAUGGAGACGAGGCGCGGGGUGAAUGGUUGGAGAAGGGAGAGUGAAUGCGGAUUAUCAGGAGAACACAAUUAUAGGUUGUUGGACUUGGCCAAUAUUUCCUACAAGCAAAACCAUUUUACAGUAUAUUCACAAAUAACUAAAAGAAGACUCCGGGGCAAGAAAAUGAGAAAUGGUGGGAAGUUAGAACACUUUCUGCAACUGAAGUUAAGAGAAAGCUCUUCCUCCCCAUUGGUAUACAAAAUUAGAUACAUUGUUUGA
ensembl:lncRNA